GAUGAACGCUGGCGGCGUGCCUAAUACAUGCGAGUCGAGCGAACAGACGAGGAGCUUGCUCCUCUGACGUUAGCGGCGGACGGGUGAGUAACACGUGGAUAACCUACCUAUAAGACUGGGAUAACUUCGGGAAGCCGGAGCUAAUACCGGAUAAUAUAUUGAACCGCAUGGUUCAAUAGUGAAAGACGGUUUUGCUGUCACUUAUAGAUGGAUCCGCGCCGCAUUAGCUAGUUGGUAAGGUAACGGCUUGCCAAGGCAACGAUGCGUAGCCGACCUGAGAGGGUGAUCGGCCACACUGGAACUGAGACACGGUCCAGACUCCUACGGGAGGCAGCAGUAGGGAAUCUUCCGCAAUGGGCGAAAGCUUGACGGAGCAACGCCGCGUGAGUGAUGAAGGUCUUCGGAUCGUAAAACUCUGUUAUUAGGGAAGAACAAAUGUGUAAGUAACUAUGCACGUCUUGACGGUACCUAAUCAGAAAGCCACGGCUAACUACGUG
rnacentral:rRNA from 1 species